rnacentral:rRNA from 1 species
UUACCGAAGCGGCUCAAGCACCCGUUAUAACAACUGCUUUGAAACUGUGCGCUACACGUAACACUACUUGAAGCACAAGCACGGAACAAACCCCGCGAACGAAAACAGCUUUAUGCGAUGUCGGGCGAGAGGCGUCUCGCCGAACGCGCUGUUUGCCCUAGCGGGCGCGCAGCGGCUCGAAUCAAAGCGUACCCACUUUUCAACCCCACUAAACUCUGAAUCUGAACUAAAAAGGCGGCCUGCCCUACKCAAGANNNNNNCUCCCUCAACCUUUAACCUUGUAAAACUUUCAGCGACGGAUGUCUUGGCUCCCACAACGAUGAAGAACGCAGCGAAAUGCGAUACGUCUUGCGACUUGCAGAAUCCAGUGAAUCAUCAAAACUUUGAACGCAUCUUGCGCUUCCGGGAUAUGCCUGGGAGCAUGCUUGUCGGAGUGUCUGUUGACACCACUCGCCCGUCCCCCCCGCCUGUCAAAGGGAGGGGGUGCCGCGGCGGACUGUGCGUGUUCCGGAGCGCCUCGCGCUCCGCGUGCACCCAAGCUCGUGAACGAAAUGAUACCUCUUUUCAGCUGUCGCUGCACGGAGUUGUUGACGGCGCUCGCCCGAAAUCAAGUACGGCGCGCGAACAAACGACUCACCCAAACGUUGCGGUGAACAAACGGCUUUGGAGGGGCACACCAUCUCUACCGACUGGCCCCCUGGUGUCGCGAGCCUCGUGCCCGCGCCCUCUGGCGCGCCCUACUUUUGUUCG